rnacentral:rRNA from 1 species
CCUACGGGAGGCAGCAGUGAGGAAUAUUGGUCAAUGGACGAGAGUCUGAACCAGCCAAGUAGCGUGAAGGAUGACUGCCCUAUGGGUUGUAAACUUCUUUUAUAUGGGAAUAAAAUGUUCCACGUGUGGGAUUUUGUAUGUACCAUAUGAAUAAGGAUCGGCUAACUCCGUGCCAGCAGCCGCGGUAAUACGGAGGAUCCGAGCGUUAUCCGGAUUUAUUGGGUUUAAAGGGAGCGUAGGUGGAUUGUUAAGUCAGUUGUGAAAGUUUGCGGCUCAACCGUAAAAUUGCAGUUGAAACUGGCAGUCGUGAGUACAGUAGAGGUGGGCGGAAGUCGUGGUGUAGCGGUGAAAUGCUUAGAUAUCACGAAGAACUCCGAUUGCGAAGGCAGCUCACUGGACUGCAACUGACACUGAGGCUCGAAAGUGUGGGUAUCAAACAGGAUUAGAUACCCCAGUAGUC